rnacentral:misc_RNA from 1 species
GAAAUUUUAAAGGUUCGUCAUCUUUUUUUCUUUUAUUUGUGUUUUUAGAUAUCGAAUGUGAUUUUUGCUGUUUUAGAUUUGUUAUCUCUGAACGAUCCGAUACUCUGUAAUUUAGUACUGUUCUGAAAGUUCUUUUGUUUGAUUUCAAUUUAAGAGCACUCUUGUUUAUACUAUGGAAUGAAGCUUGAUUGCUUAUAUUACAUUUGCGCGCGUUUAUGUUCGCUUUUCGAAUCUAGGAGCAAGCAAUUAGCUGUUUCUGGAGGUUAGAUCUAUUGGCGAUGUUAAAUUUUUUUUGUUUUGUUUCUCUGUAUGGAUUAUUUCACCUGAAGAAAAUUUAUUAUUUCUUCUUCUAAAAAAAAAUUAAUGAGA